rnacentral:rRNA from 1 species
GAUGAACGCUAGCGGGAGGCUUAACACAUGCAAGUCGAGGGGCAUCACGAGGUAGCUAUACUUUGGUGGCGACCGGCGCACGGGUGAGUAACGCGUAUGUAACCUACCCUGUACAGGGGGAUAGCCCGGAGAAAUUCGGAUUAAUACCCCAUAAAGAUAUCGAGAGGCAUCUUUUGAUAUUUAAAGUUUCGGCGGUACGGGAUGGGCAUGCGUAACAUUAGCUAGUUGGUAAGGUAACGGCUUACCAAGGCGACGAUGUUUAGGGGUCCUGAGAGGGUGAUCCCCCACACUGGUACUGAGACACGGACCAGACUCCUACGGGAGGCAGCAGUGAGGAAUAUUGGUCAAUGGGCGACAGCCUGAGCCAGCCAUCCCGCGUGAAGGAAGAAGGCGCUAUGCGUUGUAAACUUCUUUUCCAGGGGAAGAAAACCCCCGACCUGUCGGGGCUUGCCGGUACCCUGGGAAUAAGCAUCGGCUAACUCCGUGCCAGCAGCCGCGGUAACAC